rnacentral:snoRNA from 1 species
AGUUAUAGGGGAAAUGAGGAAUGGUUAUAAUCUCGCUUUAAUGCGUGAUGAGCGCUCCGCUCAAAGCCUGUUACGACUAAUUGGGCGCUCCAAUUUUUAUACAAUCUGAU